rnacentral:rRNA from 1 species
UGGCGGCAUGCCUUACACAUGCAAGUCGAACGGCAGCACGGAGCUUGCUCUGGUGGCGAGUGGCGAACGGGUGAGUAAUAUAUCGGAACGUACCCUAGAGUGGGGGAUAACGUAGCGAAAGUUACGCUAAUACCGCAUACGAUCUAAGGAUGAAAGUGGGGGAUCGCAAGACCUCAUGCUCGUGGAGCGGCCGAUAUCUGAUUAGCUAGUUGGUAGGGUAAAAGCCUACCAAGGCAUCGAUCAGUAGCUGGUCUGAGAGGACGACCAGCCACACUGGAACUGAGACACGGUCCAGACUCCUACGGGAGGCAGCAGUGGGGAAUUUUGGACAAUGGGCGAAAGCCUGAUCCAGCAAUGCCGCGUGAGUGAAGAAGGCCUUCGGGUUGUAAAGCUCUUUUGUCAGGGAAGAAACGGUGAGAGCUAAUAUCUCUUGCUAAUGACGGUACCUGAAGAAUAAGCACCGGCUAACUACGUGCCAGCAGCCGCGGUAAUACGUAGGGUGCAAGCGUUAAUCGGAAUUACUGGGCGUAAAGCGUGCGCAGGCGGUUUUGUAAGUCUGAUGUGAAAUCCCCGGGCUCAACCUGGGAAUUGCAUUGGAGACUGCAAGGCUAGAAUCUGGCAGAGGGGGGUAGAAUUCCACGUGUAGCAGUGAAAUGCGUAGAUAUGUGGAGGAACACCGAUGGCGAAGGCAGCCCCCUGGGUCAAGAUUGACGCUCAUGCACGAAAGCGUGGGGAGCAAACAGGAUUAGAUACCCUGGUAGUCCACGCCCUAAACGAUGUCUACUAGUUGUCGGGUCUUAAUUGACUUGGUAACGCAGCUAACGCGUGAAGUAGACCGCCUGGGGAGUACGGUCGCAAGAUUAAAACUCAAAGGAAUUGACGGGGACCCGCACAAGCGGUGGAUGAUGUGGAUUAAUUCGAUGCAACGCGAAAAACCUUACCUACCCUUGACAUGGCUGGAAUCCCCGAGAGAUUGGGGAGUGCUCGAAAGAGAACCAGUACACAGGUGCUGCAUGGCUGUCGUCAGCUCGUGUCGUGAGAUGUUGGGUUAAGUCCCGCAACGAGCGCAACCCUUGUCAUUAGUUGCUACGAAAGGGCACUCUAAUGAGACUGCCGGUGACAAACCGGAGGAAGGUGGGGAUGACGUCAAGUCCUCAUGGCCCUUAUGGGUAGGGCUUCACACGUCAUACAAUGGUACAUACAGAGCGCCGCCAACCCGCGAGGGGGAGCUAAUCGCAGAAAGUGUAUCGUAGUCCGGAUUGUAGUCUGCAACUCGACUGCAUGAAGUUGGAAUCGCUAGUAAUCGCGGAUCAGCAU